rnacentral:rRNA from 1 species
UACGUAGGGGGCUAGCGUUGUCCGGAAUCAUUGGGCGUAAAGAGCGUGUAGGCGGCCCGGUAAGUCCGCUGUGAAAGUCGGGGGCUCAACCCUCGAAUGCCGGUGAAUACUGUCGGGCUAGAGUGCGGAAGAGGCGAGUGGAAUUCCUGGUGUAGCGGUGAAAUGCGCAGAUAUCAGGAGGAACACCGAUUGCGAAGGCAGCUCGCUGGGACGUCACUGACGCUGAGACGCGAAAGCGUGGGGAGCAAACAGG